rnacentral:rRNA from 1 species
CAGUCGUACCUUCGGGUAAUCAGCCUUUUGGGUGUGAUUAUGUGGAGUGUAAGGAGCUUAAUCGCCCUUAUUUUUGCAUAUUCAUGCACUUUGGGUGUACUUGCUCGUGUGGUUUGUUAACAUCAGUUUCGAACAUCAAUAAAAUGGCUGGAGGAAUGUAGCUUCGAUCUCGUAUUGAAG